ACAAGCAUCCUUAUAAGUAAAGGAGGGCAGAGGAAGUCAGAGAAGCUGCCUCUAGAAGCUAAAAAAUGCGAGAAAAUGGACUCUCCCCUAGAGACCCCAGAAAGGAAUGCAGCUCUGCUGAUACCUUGAUUUUAGCCCCGUGAUGCUCAUCUUGGACUUCUGACCUCCAGAACUGACACAAACCAUGUGAUUGAAAAUGAAGAAUUCAGUCAAAUCAACUGUCUGUUGUCUCAAGACCUAUAUGUAAAUACAGCACCUGGAGAAAUAUGGUUUCUGACUGCCACCUGGAAUUCAUGGUUUCUGAUGAGAAAUUAGUUGUAAUCUUAUUGAUGAUCUCAUAUAUGUGAUGAGUCACUUCUUUUUUUUUUUUUUUUUUUUUGCUUCUUUUAAGAUUAUCUCUACCUUUGCUUUCAACAUUUUGAUUACAAAGUACUUAGCUGUGAAUCUCUUUGUGUUUAACCUACAUGAUGUAUGAUGAGCUUCUUGGUUGUGUUGACUAAUUUUUUAAAUUAAAUUUGGGAAGCUUCUGGGUAUUAAUUUUUGGAAUAGUUUUUCCACUACUUUCUCUUUCUUCUCUCCUUCUAGACUCACAUUAUGAGAUGUUGGUGUAUUUGAUGAUGU